AUGCCAGACAAAUGCCCCAAGCCUCGGCAUGUCUGGCUCGGAGAUCUAUUCAACUGAUAGGCCCCGCCUGUUGGAGGGAGAGCCCCAGCACCCGGGCUAAUCAAACAAAACAUUGUUCUCAGAAGGCAGGAAGAAAGGAGAGGCUUGUCUCUGGCAGGAAGAAAGGACAGGCUUGGGGUUUAUCUGAUAUAUUAUAUAUGUCAUAUAUAUGUAUGGUCCCCAACUAAAAGUUUGCUACAGAACUUGGGCUUCCAGAGGCGAGGCUGUUCUGCACAGAGGACCUGCAACCAAAACGAUGCGGCGCUGCUCUCCAAAACGCCAGCACCGGCGCUGGGCAAAGCUUGAGACCCACCAGGCCUGAGGAGAGCCCUCGUCAGCCACAUUUCCCCCCGUGCACUCCCGGGAACCUGGCAACAGGUAACGUGGCAACCUCUGCCUGCUCAAACGGCCAGUGGGGUAAUGUCAGGGAGCGAACGCAUUGUUUUCUUGCCAGCUGCAUCUCUCCUGCCGCCCCCGCACCCAGCCUCCUCCCUCCCAACUCCAAAGUCUGGGAAAACAAAGUUAAGCGCUGCGGCUGCCCUGCUCGUGGGCAUCCCCUGGUGGCCAAGAUCGGGACAACGCGUACGUGCUCGGGUCUCGGGCCGCAAUUCCUGCUGCUUGAUGGUCUGGAUUCCAAGUGGUACUGCCUGCGGUGUCCAGGGAGAUAAACGUUGUCUGUUUAGAAGAUUUGCUGUCUGUCUGUACCCACAGGCCAACUUCACAGAUCGCACAUUUCCGCAGGGCAGCAAACCUCAAAGGAUCCACUGCCCGGGACAAACCAAAGCCUCCAAGCCAGUCAUUGCCUGCCUACACCAACUGUGUUCCGGAUACUAAAUUUGAAGAAAUGUUCAUGCGGAAAGUGGCUGGCUUCACACUCAGCAAGGUACAUCCUGUGGACUGUAAGAUCAGACCCUGCCUUCCACCAACCCAGAAUCUCAGUGUCCUCAGAUAGCAUCUGGAGUCAGAUUAUUGACUCAAAUUAUGCUGCCUUGGUCAGCUGUCAGCACACAGUCCAAGAAUGAAGUCAUGUGAGAAUUCUGGGUGCUUGUGAGAAAAUGCCAAGAAACCAAGAGUCUCGUGGCCUCAGUUUUCUCAGAACAUGAAUUGUUCUUGGAAUGUGUUUCAUGUCUCUCCCAGGUGUACCAGAUAGGAGUGAGUUUACUUCAGAUUAUUUAUUACAACUUGCUAUUAUUAUUUGUUUAUAUGCCUCUAUGGAAAAACAUGUGUUUUUUUGUUUGUUUGUUUGUUUGUUUUUUGCCAUGCUUGGCUUGUCCUGGUGAUUGUAAACUUUAUUCAUGUCAGUCUUCUUAGCCCUCAGAGAAUAAAUUGUCUGAUGCUCUGAAUAAAGUUGGCUAUUUCAUGAGA